AUUUCUUUGUCCAAAAGUUUGAACCAAGGUAGCACGUUGGAGCAAUGGAAGAAUUCCCCUCUCAAUAGCUUUUUCUUCUUGAUAGUGAAAACAAGCACCAAAAUCAUGUGGCACAAUAAAGAAGUGAUCAGCUCCCUCUGUCCUAUUCCAGUAAGGCCAGUUAGAAGAAAUAAGUUGUAUUGCACUCCUCAUCAUACGUGGUGACUUGAAGGGUAAAGGA
rnacentral:misc_RNA from 1 species